UACGUAGGUCCCGAGCGUUGUCCGGAUUUAUUGGGCGUAAAGCGAGCGCAGGCGGUUUAUUAAGUCUGGUGUAAAAGGCAGUGGCUCAACCAUUGUAUGCAUUGGAAACUGGUAGACUUGAGUGCAGGAGAGGAGAGUAGAAUUCCAUGUGUAGCGGUGAAAUGCGUAGAUAUAUGGAGGAACACCGGUGGCGAAAGCGGCUCUCUGGCCUGUAACUGACACUGAGGCUCGAAAGCGUGGGGAGCAAACAGG
rnacentral:rRNA from 1 species